rnacentral:misc_RNA from 1 species
CAUAAAACCUAAAUGGUGAUUUAGGUCCCACUCUCUAUGGGAAGUUGUAUAAAAUCUUUUCAACAACCUAACUUGAACCAAACGGAACCAAAACUGAAGAACCGAAAACCAAAUUGAUUCCAAACCAAAAUAUCAAAGAACCAAAUCGAAAUUGAACUAAAAUAUUGAAGAACCAAACCAAAACUGAAAAUUUACCUAUGUUUGGUUUAGUUCCCAUCCUUAGCAAAACCGAACUGGACCUGAACACCGCUAAUUUAUAUGGUGGUGAUGAAUAUUGUCUCCUGACUUAUUUUAUGAAUUUUAAAUCAUCUUAUGAAUUUUGAAUCAUCAAAUAACUCUUACAAGUUGAGAAAAGAGAACUUGAAGAAUGGAAGAAGAAAUAUAUAUUUCAACAAGUAAAUUGGAAAUUUUCUUUUAUUCAGCCACAAAUAAG